rnacentral:rRNA from 1 species
UACGGAGGGUGCGAGCGUUAUUCGGAAUUACUGGGCGUAAAGCGCGUGUAGGCGGGGAAGCAAGUCUGAUGUGAAAGCCCUGGGCUUAACCUGGGAAGUGCAUUGGAAACUGUUUUCCUUGAGUACUGGAGAGGAAGGGAGAAUUCCCGGUGUAGAGGUGAAAUUCGUAGAGAUCGGGAGGAACACCAGUGGCGAAGGCGACCUUCUGGACGGUUACUGACGCUGAGACGCGAAAGCGUGGGGAGCAAAUAGG